GUGAGGAAUAUUGGUCAGUGGGCGAGAGCCUGAACCAGCCAAGUCGCGUGAAGGAUGAAGGUUUUAUGAAUUGUAAACUUCUUUUGCAGGGGAAUAAAGUACGGUACGUGUACCGUUUUGUAUGUACUCUGCGAAUAAGGAUCGGCUAACUCCGUGCCAGCAGCCGCGGUAAUACGGAGGAUCCAAGCGUUAUCCGGAUUUAUUGGGUUUAAAGGGUGCGCAGGCGGGUUGAUAAGUCAGCGGUGAAAGUUUGCAGCUUAACUGUAAAAUUGCCGUUGAAACUGUCGAUCUUGAGUGCAAAUGAGGUAAGCGGAAUGUGUUGUGUAGCGGUGAAAUGCUUAGAUAUAACACAGAACUCCGAUUGCGAAGGCAGCUUACUGGGAUGCAACUGACACUGAUGCACGAAAGCGUGGGUAUCAAACAGGAUUAGAAACCCCUGUAGUCC
rnacentral:rRNA from 1 species